rnacentral:rRNA from 1 species
AACGAACGCUGGCGGCAUGCCUAACACAUGCAAGUCGAACGAGAAACCGGAGCUUGCUCCGGCAGACAGUGGCGGACGGGUGAGUAACGCGUGGGGACCUGCCUUAGGGUACGGAACAACAGUUAGAAAUGACUGCUAAUACCGUAUACGUUCUCUUUCAUAGAGUUAAGAGAAGAAAAUUUAUUGCCCGUUAGAUGGACCCGCGUUAGAUUAGCUAGUUGGUGAGGUAAUGGCUCACCAAGGCGACGAUCUAUAGCUGGUUUGAGAGGAUGAUCAGCCACACUGGGACUGAGACACGGCCCAG